rnacentral:rRNA from 1 species
AAUAAUUUAUUUAUUUAAUGUUUUAGUAUUUAGUAAAAAUUAAUUUUUAGAUUUAUAGUUUAAUAGUAUUGUAAAAGAAAUUGUUAAAUUUUAUAAAGAAUUUUAUAGUACCUUUUGUAUCAGGGUUGAUUAAAAUUUUUAAUUUUUUUUUAAUUUCUCMAAAUUUAUAGAGUUAAUUUUAUUAUUAAUUUAUUGUGGUAAAAAUAUUUAUAAAAUAAUAUUAGUUUUGAAAUUUAAUUCGUUAUAUUAUAUUUAGUUAUUUAAGAUUUAAAUUUAAUUUAAAAUUUUAAAAGUUGUAUUAAUUUUAUUGAUUAAUAUUUUAAAUUUAAAUUAUUUUAGGGAUAAGCUUGAAAUUUUAAUAUAAUAAUUUAUUUAUUUUAAUAAUUUAUAGGAAUAGAAAUUUUUAUUUAAGUUUGUAAAAAUUUAUUAUUUAUUUAAUUUUAAUUUAUUAUAUUUAUAUUUAUUUUUAAUAUUAAAUUUUAUUAAUUAAUAUUUAAUUAAUAGUAAUAAUGAUUAAAUUAGUAUAAUAUAUAAAUUUAUAAAUUAUGAAUUCGGCAAAAAUUAUUUUCAUCUGUUUAACAAAAACAUUGUAUUAAGUUUAAUUUAAUAUAGGAUCUGCUCAAUGAUUUAUUAAAUAGCUGCAGUAUUUUGACUGUGCAAAGGUAGCAUAAUAAUUAGUCUUUUAAUUGAGGACUUGAAUGAAAGAUUUGAUGAGAAAUAGACUUUAUUAUUUAUAAAAUUAAAAUUUUAUUUUUAAGUAAAAAAGCUUAAAUUAUUUAAAGGGACGAUAAGACCCUAUAAAACUUUAUAAAUUUUGAUUUUAAUUUUUUUGGAUUCAUAAAUAUUUUAUAAUUAAAAUUUAUUUUAUUGGGGUGAUAAAAAAAAUUAUUAAACUUUUUUUAAAAUUUAACAUUAUUUAAUGAUUAGUUGAAUUAAAAUUUUUAAUUAAAGGAAAAAGUUACUUUAGGGAUAACAGCGUAAUUAAUUUUUUAAGUUCAAAUUUAAAAAUUAGUUUGCGACCUCGAUGUUGAAUUAAGAUUAAUCUUAGGUGCAAAAUUUUAAGUAUUAGGUCUGUUCGACCUUAA